rnacentral:rRNA from 1 species
UACGGAGGGUGCGAGCGUUAAUCGGAAUUACUGGGCGUAAAGCGCACGUAGGCUGUGUCGCAAGUCAGGGGUGAAAGCCCACGGCUUAACCGUGGAAUUGCCCUUGAAACUGCGGUACUUGAAUUCGAGAGGGGGCGGCGGAAUUUCAGGUGUAGGAGUGAAAUCCGUAGAUAUCUGAAGGAACAUCAGUGGCGAAGGCGGCCGCCUGGAUCGAUAUUGACGCUGAGGUGCGAAAGCGUGGGGAG